UGCUGUGUUCUCCUGACUCACU
rnacentral:miRNA from 1 species